ACUGUUAUAUCAGCCUGAAUAGCCAGCUAUGGUCUAAACCAGUCCAGUGUUUUCUCUGUGCUGGGCGCUGUUAGUGUCCAAGAGAGUGUGUUCAGAGAACACAGCUUUUCUGACCUCUUUCUUGAAGUGGUUUCAGUUCCUAUUUUUUUCUCUUGUUUCCCAAAGUUGACCUAGAUGUAACCUGGGUGUGGUGGGCUGAAACCUUCCUAAGAAGGGUCUAUUGACCUAAGGUUUAUUUUCUGAAACCCACUGUCCCAAACUGACCUUUUAAUUCUCACAAUUGUACCUUCCCAAAGUCAUCUGUAAAGGGAAUCUAUACUGGAGAAGAAGUUCCUUUCAGUAGAGUCAGAUGCCAGCUGCCUGUCCUAUGAGGCUGUGGGAUUGAGGGUGGAUACUGUGGUUUCUGUUGUAUGUGUGAAGUGAACAAAAUAGUAUUUGGUGUGGAUUAGUAUUGUACUGGAAAGCAUAACUUGGGAUCCUGGACUGUCACUUGCUCCUUUGUUCUCCAUCCCCCCUGAAAUGUCUGUGUGCUUCAAUAAAA
rnacentral:lncRNA from 1 species